UCUUCACAAAUAAAAAUAAAUGGUCUGAGGGAGACUGGAGAGGCUGCAAUUGUGCUAAGCAUCUCACCAUGAUAGCUCAGCUAUUCAUACCUUAUGAAAUCGUGUUCCAACUGAAUAUAAUUUUGUUUAACUUAAGGGAAGAGCUUUUGAUAAUUAAUGUUCACGUAUUUUUCCAACUGAGGUCAUACAGCAUCUGCCAUGCGAUUGGCCAAGUCUUGGUUAAUGGGUAGACAUAGCGAAGGAUUUGAUUUUAUCACUGCCCUCUUCAAGACUGAGAUUUGUCUUUUCUAUCUUUUCCACUUCUGAAGCUUCCCAAAGGCGAGUCUUACACUUUGUAUUUCUAGAGGAUCCUUUCUAACAUUCUCCAUGGCUUAGGAGUUUUUCUAGCUCCCGUGAUAUGGGUUUAAAAACCUGUUUCUUUACGGCUGUCCAAUGUUCUUCCUAAGUGUAGGCAAUUGAGAGCUAGCCAUGUGGGAUGUGGGAGGUGACGGUGCAUGCUGAGAGUUCAGGAGAAAGGGCCAAGCUGAUAUUCUAGAGAGAACACUUGAAAGUUGGUAAGCACUGUGACCCUUCAGUCUUAGAAGUGCCAUCCCUAUUAGCCAUCAGAGAUGCCAUUCUACAUACUGGUCUGUCUCACUCUGUCUUCUUUCAGCCCCUCCAUGUUCCUUGUCCAUCCUGUCUGUAUCACUUACCAUACUGGACUACCAUGUGGGAUCUCAUCCAUGCUACCUUCUCAUGUACUGUGCCCUAAUGUCAUUCAGUUUGGUCACAGUCUGUGGCCCGACAAGUGGCUAGUUUAGUCACCUGUCCCUAGUAAACCAAUUAAAAGAGCCAAAUUAAUAAUGGAAAGGAGAAAAGGAGAUUUAUUUCUUAUGGCUAAACUGGAAAGAGGGACAAAGAGAUCUAGGGAACCCCUCCCACAAGUCUGUCUUCAAUCUCUGAAAUAAGAUUAAAGUUUAAUCGGAGGACCAAGGAUAUGCCAUCUAAGCCAUGCAGUCAAGGAAGGGUGGUCCACCAACCAUUGACACAUACUCUAUCCUGUUUUGUAAAAAUCCUAUGUAUUUUAAUUGAGAAGCAUCUGGACUUUUAGAUUAGUUGUCCCCUCCAUGUUCCAGGUGUCCCCUAGGGAGAUGGGGGUCUUUUUCUGAGUGUUUACUAGGUUAUCCCUUAGGUACUUAGAGACAGAUGGUCUGCAAGUAUUGGCUCCUUUUCCAAGCAUUAGUAGAGAAAACACACACACACACACACACACACACACACACACACACACACACUAUAUUGUGCACAGGCUGUAGAUGGGUACAGUCUCCCUGCCCCUUCCUGCAAACGUAAGCAUGAGGGACAGGAAGUAGCUGUUUCUAAACGUGACCCGUAAAUAUUAAAUUUUCUGCCAUUUGUCUUUCCACAAUAACCUAAGGCAGUUUCUGUCUGGAUCAGCCUCAAAAGGUCAAGAUAUUUGUUUUUGCUUUCUGAGUAGAAAUGUUUUUUAGGCUUCUAAAGAACACUGCUUGGCAGGUGCUUCCUGUCACCCCAGCUUUCACAUGGACAGUCAAACAUGUCACCAGCAAGAAGUGACUUCACUCCUGCCCCCCUCAUACAGGUGCCCAGGUUCUGAGCUAUUCAGAAUGAAUGAUACUGAUUAAGAUGUCUAGGGUUAAUGGCCAGUCAUAGGAGACUUAUUUGGAGAGAAAGAUAGACUGAAUUAGGGUGCACCAAAAUGGGGCUACAUGUUACCUAAAUGUUUAAAACAACAUGAUAAAUAAAGAGCAAGAAUAGAGUUAUUUUAUACUGUCCUAAGAAUGGAACUGUUGAGUUGCAAGAGGUAGAUGUUGGUGCACAGUGAAACAUCGUUUUCCUGGAAGAGUUGCCUACAAGCCAAUGGGCUUCCUGAAAUAGCCAGCUCCGAUCCACAGCUGUGCUUAAGCACACACAGGACCAACACCUGAAGCUACCCUUCCUCUGCCAGAGAAAGCAGUUAGCAGGAUGUGUUAAACCAGCAGUUUACAACUGGGAGUCAAGGAAGCAGGGCAAUGGAGAGAUGCUGCUAUAAUGUCCUGGCUGCUCUAUUUUGAAAAUAUCUUCUUCUAUGCCUGGAGCCGUUUCCAGCACAGUGUGACUCGGUGAACACUGGAGUACCUCUGACUUGAUGGUACCUGAGAUGCAGUGGGUGUCAUGGCUGGAGAGGAGGAAUCAGAAGACAGUGCAGGAGUCAGUCCUUUCCUCCACUGUCGUCGCUGCCUGUCAUGCUGGUCUCUCCUCUGCUCCUGAAGAUCCACUGAGGACUUCCUGAGGCUGUGAGCAAUGGCUCUCAUACGUCUGUUGUCCCAGACCCUCUCGCUUCCCAAAUAGCACUAAUCCCUCUACCAUGGACUCUGAAAUUUCUCUAUUUUGUUUUGCAAAAACCCUAUUUCACUCUGUUAAAAUUUUGUUAGUCAUGUAUCUGGUUGAUUGAGCUGUUUUUUAUUCCUUCCUUGUACAGACCAACUGUUGGUUGGCUGACUCUAUGGGACGUGAGGGUUCUUUCAUGGAUUGGUUUUGCUCACUCCGGUUCAGACUGGACGCUGACUCUGUACUGUGCUUUUGGGGUUGAGCCUGUCUUUCCUCUUCCUCCGAGUGCUGUAUUGCUUCUGAAGCGCUGUGUGCCUUGAAUGGCCCCAUUUCUUCACAGCACAGCUUGGCUGGAAGCAGCAAGCUUGGUUGGCCUUUGACCUUCAGCAUUUGAAGUUUAUCAGUUUUCACUCUCCUUGCUUCUCUGACUAUUGAUGAGAGACCUAAUGUUCUUCUGACACCCCUGCCCUGUGAGUUAGCACUUUCGGUUAUUGCUCUUAUUUAUCUGUUUAUCUUUGAGUUGAAGUUUGUUUAAAUUACUUUUAAACAUAUGAAAAAAAUAUUCAUCCUCAUUCCAAACAAGAGAUAGAUACCAUACUUACAGUGGAAUAUCGCUUCUUAUCUGUCAGAGGCAAGAUGGCACCGUGGUUGGUGAGAGAAGACUCUGUGACACGAGGAUUGUGACAAUGCAAAAUAGCCGCAUGGGGUGGACUUAUCAAUUGCUGGCAAUAUUACGCACACAAAUACCCAUUGCCUCAGCAAGUGUGCCUCUCAGAAACCGUUUCCAAGGAUGGACUGGCAAACUGACUCUGAAUUGUGUUUUGCCUUAGUACAGGUACUUUCAGCAGGCUACCAAUGAGCUACAUUCAAUAUUUUGAUUGUAGUUACAUAAUAGUGUAAGAGAAGAGGCACAAAUAUCUGUCAGCUUGGUUGAAUAAACUGUGGUACA